AUUGAACGCUGGCGGCAUGCUUUACACAUGCAAGUCGAACGGUAACAGGGAGCUUGCUCCGCUGACGAGUGGCGAACGGGUGAGUAAUGCGUCGGAACGUGCCGAGUAGUGGGGGAUAACGCAUCGAAAGGUGUGCUAAUACCGCAUACGUACUGAGGUAGAAAGUGGGGGACCUUCGGGCCUCACGCUAUUCGAGCGGCCGACGUCUGAUUAGCUAGUUGGUGAGGUAAAGGCUCACCAAGGCGACGAUCAGUAGCGGGUCUGAGAGGAUGAUCCGCCGCACUAGGACUGAGACACGGCCCAGACUCCUACGGGAGGCAGCAGUGGGGAAUUUUGGACAAUGGGCGCAAGCCUGAUCCAGCCAUGCCGCGUGUCUGAAGAAGGCCUUCGGGUUGUAAAGGACUUUUGUCCGGGAGCAAAUGCCUGGUGUUAAUAGCACUGGGAGCUGAGAGUACCGGAAGAAUAAGCACCGGCUAACUACGUGCCAGCGGCCGCCGUAAAAC
rnacentral:rRNA from 1 species